rnacentral:rRNA from 1 species
GACGAACGCUGGCGGCGUGCUUAACACAUGCAAGUCGAACGGUGAAGCCCUUCGGGGUGGAUCAGUGGCGAACGGGUGAGUAACACGUGAGCAACCUGCCCCUGGCUCUGGGACAACCACUGGAAACGGUGGCUAAUACCGGAUACGACCCGCCUCGGCAUCGAGUGUGGGUGGAAAGUUUUUCGGCUGGGGAUGGGCUCGCGGCCUAUCAGCUUGUUGGUGAGGUGAAGGCUCACCAAGGCGACGACGGGUAGCCGGCCUGAGAGGGCGACCGGCCACACUGGGACUGAGACACGGCCCAGACUCCUGCGGGAGGCAGCAGUGGGGAAUAUUGCACAAUGGGCGAAAGCCUGAUGCAGCGACGCCGCGUGAGGGAUGACGGCCUUCGGGUUGUAAACCUCUUUCAGCUCCGAAGAAGCGAAAGUGACGGUAGGAGCAGAAGAAGCACCGGCUAACUACGUG